rnacentral:rRNA from 1 species
UACGAAGGGUGCAAGCGUUACUCGGAAUUACUGGGCGUAAAGGGCUCGUAGGCGGCCAACUAAGUCAGACGUGAAAUCCCUCGGCUUAACCGGGGAACUGCAUCUGAUACUGGAUGGCUUGAGUUCGGGAGAGGGAUGCGGAAUUCCAGGUGUAGCGGUGAAAUGCGUAGAUAUCUGGAGGAACAUCGGUGGCGAAGGCGGCAUCCUGGACCGACACUGACGCUGAGGAGCGAAAGCCAGGGGAGCAAACGGG